rnacentral:misc_RNA from 1 species
GAUGAAGAACGUAGCGAAAUGCGAUAAGUAAUGUGAAUUGCAGAAUUCAGUGAAUCAUCGAAUCUUUGAACGCACAUUGCGCCCGCCAGUAUUCUGGCGGACAUGCCUGUUCGAGCGUCAUUUCAACCAUCAAGCCCCAGGCUUGUGUUGGAGCCCUGCGGCUGCCGCAGCCUCCCAAAACCAGUGGCGGGCUCGCUAUCACACCGAGUGCAGUAGUUUACUCUUCGCUCAGGGCGUGUGGCGGGUGCUAGCCGUAAAACCCCCAACUUCUCAAGGUUGACCUCGGAUCAGGUAGGAAUACCCGCUGAACUUAAGCAUAUCAAUAAGCGGAGGA